UUAUAAAAAUCAAUAGACUUUAUUUUUUAGGGAAGUUUUAGAUCUACAGAAAAGUUAAGCAGAAAGUACAGAGAGUUUCCAUAUGUCCCUUACCCCAUCCCCC